CUGCUGCUGUCUUGAUUCUGACCCCUGAUUCGGUUUGGAUGGCUGUGAUGUCCUCAGCUCUCACAUCUUGGAUACCACCUGACAUCUCACUUCCCAAGGCAAUGGUUGCACUGAAUGGUGAAAUGCAUGUUAACCUUCUUAUCACUAGGUGUUUGGUUGGCCACCCAAAUUUUAUUCCAUACUCAUCCCAUCCACUCUUAACAGCCACACAGUCAUCCCCAGAAACUAUGUAGCAAUCUUCAAUUCUUACAUUUGUGCAAGAAUCUGAUAAGAAAAAUUAAAAGAUAGAAAAGGAGUUUGAACAAACUGUUUUAUAAAUUCAAACCAAACUCUAUUGUUCUUUCCUUCUAUACACAGUUUAUAUUUGAAGAGUUUGAAGCUGAUAAUGAAUGAACUACCAACCUGGGUUGAUGCCAUCAGUGUUUGGAGAUGUGAUAGGAGCAAAAAUGGUGAUGCCUUGCACAAUAAUGUUGCUGCAUAGUAUUAAAACUUGUCAGAACAUUGGAAGUAAAAGAUAGUUACAGAGUAACUGAACAGUAACUAUACGAGUAAUUAUAUAAAUGUAAGAACACUUUUUUUUGCAAAACUUGAACAAAAUAAAGUGGUAUUACCUGCUAUAAACUGGAUGAACAUUCCAUGAUGGGGAAUUGAGGAGGGUUAGAUUUGAGAUUUGAAUGUUGUCUGAGAACAUCAAUUCAAUCAGGUACGGACGAGUGUACUUCAACUUUUUUCUGUGAAAUUGCUGCCACCAAAACUCACCCUGACCAUCUAUUGUGCCAUUUUCUCCUGUUAACAAAAAGGAUCAUGAUUGAUAUAAUUUAUCUAUAAUAAUAAUAAGAUAAAAUACUAAAAAUAGUCUAUGUAUUAAUAAUAUGAAUGAUUUUACACCGAUAUCCAUUUACAAAUUAAUAUGCAUAGUAAAUUUAUCGAUUUUGUAAUAAUUACAGUAAAAUCAUACUUACCAUGACUUCUGGUUAAUUGACAGAAUGGAUUUUAUAUAGAAAUUCAAUUCUAAUAAUAAUAGAAGAGUAUAAUCUAUAGUUAAUAUUUAAGACUUUAAUUUAUAUACUAUAGGGAUGUGUGUAAAUAUAUGUACACAAACAUCUAGAAUUAAACAGGAAUUCACUUUAUGAUCACUUAGUAUUAAUUUCUAUACAGUUAUAAAUAAAUACAUACAACAAAUUUUGGUGAUUAGAACUUUUGGAUACACAGAACUGGUUUUUUUGCCUCCUUACCUGUGACAAUAACAUCAGUAAGGUUUGUUCCAAAUAUGAGGCUUGCGAAUCUUCCUGCUGCUGCGUCUCUUCCUCUGCCGUAUGAUGGGAGGGGUUCAAGCACAGGCCAUUCAGUUAUAUCCUAAACCAUUUUAUUAGUUCAGUAAAAAAGAGUUAGCAGUAGCACACAUGAAUGUGCCAAAAGUGUGUCACACUUGCAACCUUUUUCCUAGGUAACACAAGACAAAUGUGUAAGGCACUCUGAAAGUUUUUGUCUGAAUGUAAGAACAGACCAAAAGUGUCAGGAUAAAGUGAUAAACUUUUGUGUAUAGUUGAAUUAUUUUAAGACUAAUGUUCUCAUCUCAUAUGCUUGGUAGAAAGUGGGGAAUCUUGUGACACAUUCUUUGCGUUUCAUUUAUUGGACAUCUUUCCUUAUUUGUUACUCACGUGAACCCCUUAUUCACCAUUAAAAAAUGAUCAAUGAGUUUAUGAUAAUAAUGACAAAUAACAAGGUGGAAAUAUUGUAUUAUAUGUCUAUGUUUCAGCCAUUUUCUAAAAAAAAGUUAGUAAAAAUUGACUAAAUGUCACGUCAAAUUGAGUAAAUUUGUGAAUAUGUGUUGUCUUUGAUCAUAGAAUAAUUCUUAAUGCUUGAAGCCUAGUUUUUCUUUGAUAUUUAUUGUUUUCUUCCGGUGAAAGCUCGAAAUGUAUUUCAUUGCCUGUUUUGUUCUGUAUCAGACUUGGAAAAUGUUCUAGUGAGAUACUGCCAAAAGGAAAGGUGCAAGAACAGUCAGAUGAAGCCAACUGAUUGGUACAGUAACACUCUUUUCUAAACCCAGAGUCAGUAGAAAAAGAAUUAGGAAAAGGUUUUGGCUAUUUCUACUUUCAAAGGCUUGUGAGCAAUAAUAAGGCUUUGAAAUUUGAGAGCUGGAGAGUACUCAUGUGAGUGAUGAAAAUUGUGAAAGACUAUUUUAAUGUUCAUAGACAACAGAUUCUCACAGAUAAAAGUCUCUCAUCUAACAUGUGUGGUGAAAAUUUGUAGGUAGUUGCAAUUGAAGCACUAAUGGAAAUGAUGGAUUUUGAAUAAACUUGAAAGUGCUUUCAGAAAGCACAAAAUGAACACUCAUUAUGCCUUAAAACCUGAUGUUUAUUGUUAAAUUGUCACCAAGAAGGAGUAGAAAAUGGGAUACCUGAGAAGCAAGGAGAACAGCAUCUUUGUCCAGAUAGAGGGUGAAGUGACUAGUGAGACUGAAGCUACCAGUGAGCCAUUUUCCUGCAGGAACGUAGAGCUGAGAACCACCUUCAGAAGCAUACUGACUCAGCUGACUUAUUGCUGACUGAAAUGCCUUUGUGUUGGAUGUCUUUCCAUCCCCAACACCACCAAAAUCAGUCAAUGAAGCACUAUGAGCUCUGCAGUUGAUAGCGUUGUACUCUAAAGAAGUUGUCACAACUUUGGCUUUUCUGCUCUCUACUCUCUCUGAAUUCAGUAGUGUAACCAAAAGGAGAGCAAAAGCUGUUCCAAUCACC
rnacentral:lncRNA from 1 species